GCAUUUUUUUGUUUCAUCACAUUCGGUUUUCUGUAACACAAUUCAAAUUAUCGGUAGUUUGUCAGAUAGCACAAUCGAGCUAUUGACUUUUUCAACGUACUCAAUGUUCGACUUCUUUGGCAUAGCAAAUCUGUCAUUGAAAGUGGAAGAGAUAACACGAGCAGAUUCCGUUAGCCAGUCUUGGAUCAGUUUCGUGCUCGUGAACAUUUCUCUCAGACUAUGAAAAGUUUGGUUAGCUAAAUAAUGGCUAGCUGCCCACAGAUGUUCUUCCGGGAAAUCAAUUUCUAUGGAAUAGCGUUAAGGUGUAUCGAAACAAUGAUACUCGAUUAUGUAAAAGGCAAAUAAAAGUAUAGAUCAAAGAAAAA